rnacentral:rRNA from 1 species
GCAUGUCUAAGUAUAAGCAAUUAUACCGUGAAACUGCGAAUGGCUCAUUAAAUCAGUUAUCGUUUAUUUGAUAAUACCUUACUACUUGGAUAACCGUGGUAAUUCUAGAGCUAAUACAUGCUGAAAAUCCCGACUUCGGAAGGGAUGUGUUUAUUAGAUAAAAAACCAAUGCCCUUCGGGGCUCUUUGGUGAUUCAUGAUAACUUUACGGAUCGCAUAGCCUUGCGCUGGCGACGGUUCAUUCAAAUUUCUGCCCUAUCAACUUUCGAUGGUAAGGUAUUGGCUUACCAUGGUUUCAACGGGUAACGGGGAAUUAGGGUUCGAUUCCGGAGAGGGAGCCUGAGAAACGGCUACCACAUCCAAGGAAGGCAGCAGGCGCGCAAAUUACCCAAUCCCGACACGGGGAGGUAGUGACAAUAAAUACUGAUACAGGGCUCUUUUGGGUCUUGUAAUUGGAAUGAGUACAAUUUAAACCUCUUAACGAGGAACAAUUGGAGGGCAAGUCUGGUGCCAGCAGCCGCGGUAAUUCCAGCUCCAAUAGCGUAUAUUAAAGUUGUUGCAGUUAAAAAGCUCGUAGUUGAAACUUGGGCCUGGCUGGCGGGUCCGCCUCACCGCGUGCACUCGUCCGGCCGGGCCUUCCUUCUGAAGAACCUCAUGCCCUUCACUGGGCGUGUUGGGGAAUCAGGACUUUUACUUUGAAAAAAUUAGAGUGUUCAAAGCAGGCCUUUGCUCGAAUACGUUAGCAUGGAAUAAUAAAAUAGGGCGUGCGUUUCUAUUUUGUUGGUUUCUAGAGACGCCGCAAUGAUUAACAGGAACAGUCGGGGGCAUCAGUAUUCAGUUGUCAGAGGUGAAAUUCUUGGAUUUACUGAAGACUAACUACUGCGAAAGCAUUUGCCAAGGAUGUUUUCAUUAAUCAGUGAACGAAAGUUAGGGGAUCGAAGACGAUCAGAUACCGUCGUAGUCUUAACCGUAAACUAUGCCGACUAGGGAUCGGNCNAUGUUCUUUCUUGACUCGCUCGGCACCUUACGAGAAAUCAAANUUUUNGNNNCUGGGGG